rnacentral:rRNA from 1 species
GGCUAGGGGGCGUGAGAGCGUGACCCCCCACAAGGGAACUGAGAGACGGUCCCUACUCCUACGGGAGGCAGCAGUGAGGAAUAUUGAGCAAUGGGCGCAAGCCUGACUCAGCAACGCCGCGUGGACGAUGACGGCCUUCGGGUUGUAAAGUCCUUUUCUGAGGGACGAUGAUGACGGUACCUCAGGAACAAGUCCCGGCUAACUACGUGCCAGCAGCCGCGGUAA